GACGAACGCUGGCGGCGUGCUUAACACAUGCAAGUCGAACGGUGAAGCGCCUUCCUUUUUGGUGGGUGUGGAUGAGUGGCGAACGGGUGAGUAACACGUGAGUAACCUGCCCCCUUCUUCUGGAUAACCGCAUGAAAGUGUGGCUAAUACGGGAUAUUCUGGGUCUGUCGCAUGAUGGGUCUGGGAAAGAUAUUGUUUCGGUGGGGGAUGGGCUCGCGGACUAUCAGGUUGGUGGUGGGGUGAUGGCCUACCGAGGCGGUGACGGGUAGCCGGCCUGGGAGGAUGGGCGACCACGCAAGGGAGAAGACGCGGAGAAGACUCCGGCAGGAGGCAGCGGGGAAGAAUAGAGCACAGUGGGAGCAAGGAUGAUGCAGCGACGCGGCGUGGAAGAUGGAGGCCGUCGGGUUGUGAACCUCUUUCGCGAGUGAAGCGGACCUGCCUAGUUUGUGGGUGGGUUGACGGUAGCUGGAUAAGAAGCGCCGGCUAACUACGUG
rnacentral:rRNA from 1 species